rnacentral:rRNA from 1 species
UUUUUUUUUUAUUUUCUCGCAGACGACGCGCGCGUGCUAUACUGCAAGUCAAGGGAAAGAUGGGGAGCUUGCUCCCUGAUAUUUAGCGGCGCGGGUGUGUGGGAGAAAUAAACUCAGUAGUAUCAGCCGUAGAUCUGUAUACUCGGGAGACCGGCUGCUAAUACGUGACUGCUUGAGAUGUACCGCCGUUGGUUCACUUAUAAAAGUGUGACUGUUCGGCUGACCAACUAAGGACGAGGACACGUGUUCGCUUAGGCUAGUUGGUGAGGUAAUGGCUCACCAUGGAACUUCUGCGUAGCCGACUUCAGAGGGUGAUCGGCCACACGGGGAGUGAGACACGACCCAGAUUCCUACGGGAGGCAGCAGUAGGGAAUUUUCCGCAAUGGACGAAAGUCGGAGGGAGCAACGCCGCGUGAGUGAUGAAGGUUUUCGGAUCGUACAACUCUGUUGUUAGGGAAGAACAAGUACCGUUCGAAUAGGGCGUUACCUUGACGGUACCUAACCAGAAAGCCACGGCGAAGUACGUGCCAGCAGCCGCGGUAAUACGUAGGUGGCAAGCGUUGUCUGGAAUUAUUGGGCGUAAAGCGCGCGCGGGCGGUUUCUUAAGUCUGAUGUGAAAGCCCCCGGCUCAACCGGGGAGGGUCAUUGGAAACUGGGGAACUUGAGUGCAGAAGAGGAGAGUGGAAUUCCACGUGAGCGGUGACUUGCGUAGAGAUGUGGAGGAACACCAGUGGCGAAGGCGACUCUCUGGUCUGUAACUGACGCUGAGGCGCGAAAGCGUGGGGAGCGAACAGGAUUAGAUACCCUGGUAGUCCACGCCGUAAACGAUGAGUGCUAAGUGUUAGAGGGUUUCCGCCCUUUAGUGCUGCAGCAAACGCAUUAAGCACUCCGCCUGGGGAGUACGGUCGCAAGACUGAAACUCAAAGGAAUUGACGGGGGCCCGCACAAGCGGUGGAGCAUGUGGUUUAAUUCGAAGCAACGCGAAGAACCUUACCAGGUCUUGACAUCCUCUGACAACCCUAGAGAUAGGGCUUCCCCUUCGGGGGCAGAGUGACAGGUGGUGCAUGGUUGUCGUCAGCUCGUGUCGUGAGAUGUUGGGUUAAGUCCCGCAACGAGCGCAACCCUUGAUCUUUAGUUUGCCAACAAAUCAGUUGGGCACUCUAAGGUGACUGCCGCGUGACCAAACCGGACGAAGGUGGGGGAUGACAUCAAAUCAUCCAGCCCCUUAUGACCUGGGCUACACACGUGCUACAAUGGGAAUAACAAAGGGCAGCGAACCCGCGAGGCUUAGUCAAUCCCACAAAUCUGUUCUCAGUUCGGAUCGCAGUCUGCAACUCGACUGCGUGAAGCUGGAAUCGCUAGUAAUCGCAGAUCAACAUGCCGCGGUGAAUACGUUCCCGGGCCUUGUACACACCGCCCGUCACACCACGAGUGUUUGUCACACCCGUACUCGGUGAGGUAACCUUUUGGAGCCAGCCGCCGAAUGUGGGACAGAUUAUUGGGGUGAAAUCGUACAG